GAUGAAGAACGUAGCGAAAUGCGAUAAGUAGUGUGAAUUGCAGAAUUCAGUGAAUCAUCGAAUCUUUGAACGCACAUUGCGCCCCAUGGUAUUCCGUGGGGCAUGCCUGUUCGAGCGUCAUUUACCCCCUCAAGCUCCGCUUGGUGUUGGGCGUCUGUCCCGCUUCGCGCGCGGACUCGCCCCAAAGGUAUUGGCAGCGGUCGUGCCAGCUUCUCGCGCAGCACAUUGCGCUUCUCGAGGCACCGGUGGGCCCGCGUCCAUCAAGCUCACCCCCCCAGUUUGACCUCGGAUCAUGUAGGGAUACCCGCUGAACUUAAGCAUAUCAAUAAGCGGAGGA
rnacentral:misc_RNA from 1 species